rnacentral:rRNA from 1 species
UACGUAGGGGGCAAGCGUUGUCCGGAAUUAUUGGGCGUAAAGCGCGUGUAGGCGGCUCGAUAAGUCCGCUCUGAAAGUCCGGGGCUCAACCCCGGGAGGCGGGUGGAUACUGUCGGGCUAGAGUCCGGAAGAGGCGAGUGGAAUUUCUGGUGUAGCGGUGAAAUGCGUAGAUAUCGAGAGGAACACCUGCGGCGAAGGCGGGUUGCUGGGCUGACACUGACGCUGAAGCGCGAAAGCUAGGGGAGCGAACGGG